CGGCGGAACAUGAUCAUGGGGCCGUCAUUGCCGGCAUCCCCGACGGCAGCGGGGCUGCACCCUCCUUCCCAAAGCUGCCGGCGUCCGAGCAUGUUUACAGCUGGGGAUGGGAACUCAACCACUUCCCUGGGCACCCUGUUCCAGAGUUGGUAACUCUUUCAGUGAAGAAAUUUCUCCUCAUGUCCGACCAAAACCUCGCUGGAGCAACUUGAAAUUGUGUCCUCUUUUUACCUCUGAGACCAACAACCCCCACAACCCCCUCGCUAUAACCUCCUGUCAAGUAGUUGUAGAGAGCAAUAAGGUCUCCCCUCAGCUCCCUUUUCUCAAGGUGGAAACAAAUCAGAGUGAUGUGACACAUGGAAUUCAACAUUAACUUAUUUUUCAGAAAGACCUGUUGAUGAUGUGUUUAGAAAGAGUGCUUGAUGUUCAGGGAAAAAAAGAGAGGAGAACAUGGUGCUUAAGUGUGGGUCUGGCCUUGGUAGAGAAAGAAGCAACUGCUUCACUUGCAGACAUGACACCAACAUGCUUCUUUGCAAUGUGACCUAAUCCACACCUACAGGAAAUCAGUUGGAAUGAUUGUUUCAAAGUGAGAAGCUCCAGAUGUACAACUCCUCACAGGAAGAACUGUUUUUCACCUCUGAAGCUCAUUCCUGGCUUGUAACAACUUAAUGUGUAUCAGGCUACUGACCUCUUACUCAAGCACCAGGUGGUAGGUCUGGCUGAAGCCUUACAGAUUCUGUCAUUCAAAAUUAAACCAUUUGCUAAAAAGUGCUGAUGUAGUCCUUGAAGUUUGUAAGAGCAUCAGUGUGACAUCUUACUCUCUUGCAUGUACAAGGUCUGGAUUACAAAAUACACUUUUCCUUCUGUGCUUCAGUA